rnacentral:rRNA from 1 species
UACAGAGGGUGCAAGCGUUAAUCGGAAUUACUGGGCGUAAAGCGUGCGUAGACGGUUAUGUAAGUCAGAUGUGAAAGCCCCGGGCUCAACCUGGGAAUUGCAUUUGAGACUGCAUAGCUAGGGUGCGGAAGAGGGAAGCGGAAUUUCCGGUGUAGCGGUGAAAUGCGUAGAUAUCAGGAGGAACACCAAUUGCGAAGGCAGCUCGCUGGGACGUUACUGACGCUGAGACGCGAAAGCGUGGGGAGCAAACAGG